rnacentral:lncRNA from 1 species
ACCGGUAUCAUUAAAUCUUAACUCAAUAAAUCAAUGAUUAAAAAUAUUUUAGGUCAUGACUAUCAAAGAUUUAGGUCUCACUAGCGUGAUCUCAUCACAUCCCUAAGAUCAUUGUCCAAACCUAUGGGAUUCAUUAUAAUCUUAAAAAUAAUUAAGAUGCAGUAUAUGAUGAAUCAAAAAAUCUAUUUUAUUAAAUAAUAAUAUCAAUUACAUGAGUUUGAAAGAUAAAUUAUAGAAAAAUAUCUCAUUGCAUCCUAUAUACGAUUGGCUUAUAGGACAU